UACGGGGGGGGCAAGCGUUGUUCGGAAUUACUGGGCGUAAAGGGCUCGUAGGUGGCCAACUAAGUCAGACGUGAAAUCCCUCGGCUUAACCGGGGAACUGCGUCUGAUACUGGAUGGCUUGAGUUCGGGAGAGGGAUGCGGAAUUCCAGGUGUAGCGGUGAAAUGCGUAGAUAUCUGGAGGAACACCGGUGGCGAAGGCGGCAUCCUGGACUGGUCCUGACACUCAGGAGCGAAAGCGUGGGGAGCGAUCCGG
rnacentral:rRNA from 1 species